GCUGGGUGCGGUGGCGUGUGCCUGUAGUCCCAGCUACUCAGGAGGCUGAGGCAGGAGAAUUGCUUGAACCUGGGAGGUGGAGGUUGUUGUGAGAUCAUGCCACUGCACUCCAGCCUGGCGACAGCACAAGACUCUGUCUCAAAAAAACAAAAUAAAUAAAAAUUGACUGCUGUGUCAAAUAUUUCUAUUAUUUAUUUUUUUAAGACAAUGGAAAAAGAAUUGCUUUUAGAAUGUUUUUUUUUUUUUUGAGACAGAGUCUUGCCCUGUAGCCAGGCUGGAGUGCAGUGGAUGAUCUCAGCUCACUGCAACCUCUGCCUCCCAGGUUCAAGAGAUUCUCCUGCCUCAG
rnacentral:SRP_RNA from 1 species